UUUUGUAAUAGGUAUUGAACAAUGUCUACUGGAGGAGGUUCAGUGCAGUAUUUUGGAGAUGGAACAAAACUCACUGUUCUAGAUAAGGAUCCUAAAGAACCUAAAGUCUCCAUAUUUCAUCCAUCAGUGGAUGAGAUAAGACAGAAAAAGAAAGCAACUCUGGUCUGUGUGGCAUAUGACUUCUAUCCAGAUUCUGUCAGCAUCACGUGGAAGAUGACUGUAAAUGAUGUAGAGGAGGAGGGGGACUUUAAAACCGAUGAUUAUCCAGCUAAAAAUGAUAACCUCUACAGCAUGAGCAGUCGUCUGAGGGUUCAUUCAUCUUCUUAUUUUAAUCCUAAGAGUCGUUUUCAAUGCAUUGUCAAGUUCACGCUGAGUGAUGACAAAGUAAAUACCACAACCCAAGAGAUACCUGGUAGAGAAGAAUGUGGAAUCACUCCCGAAUCAUAUCACAAGGGGACUAGUGCAGGGAAAUUUACGUAUCUGCUACUUCUGAGUAAAAGUGCUUUCUAUGGAUUUAUAAUGCUGACGGUCAUACUGUGGCAAGCAAAGGUUUCUUCAGCCAAGAAUUUCAGUUAGACAUGUGGAACUGCUAACUGCUCUACAACCUGAAUGUACACAAACUGCCUGCAGUAUUAUCAUUGUUUUCUUACCUCAUGUGAAUAAUUUUAGAACAUUCUGUCAUUAAGUUUAUUAGAAACUUCGACUAAAGGAUCACUGUCAGAUAUGUGUUUAGAAAACUUUAUAUUUUUCUGUAUGUUUCUUGUUUUCUUGGUGUUUUUGUUUUUUAACUGAAUAUAAAACUUGUUUUUGCUUUUCUCAAAAACAAAUUAUUCAAUAAAGUGAUGGGCUUUAAAUCUG